GGUUCAACUCUGCCACCAACGUCGUGGUGUUGGCUGGCACCAACCGCCCUGACGUCCUGGACCCGGCCCUCAUGCGGCCUGGCUGGUUUCAUCGCCAGAUUUACACUGGUCCUCCUGACAUCAAAGGCAGGUCCUCCAUCUUUAAGGUCCACCUGCGCCCACUGAAGCUGGACGAGAGCCUCAAUAAGGACGCCCUGGCGAGGAAGCUGGCAGCGCUCACCCCAGGCUUCCCUGAGGGGGAUGACUCAGCAGGGAUGACUCAGCACUACCCCUCAACAGAGAUGACUUUGAUGACUCUGCCCCUCAGCAGGGCUUACUAAGCACUACCCCUUAACAGGGAUGACUCUGCACUGCCCCUCAACAGGGAUGACUCAGCAGAGAUGACAGCACUGUCCCUCAGCAGGGAUGACACAGCAAGGAUGACUCAGCACUGCCCCUCAGCAAGGAUGACGCAGCACUGCCACUCAACAGGGAUGACUCAGGGAUGGCUCAGUACUGCCCCUCAGCAGGGAUGACUCAGCACUGCCCCUCAACAGGGAUGACUCAGCAGGGAUGACUCAGCACCGCCCCUCAACAGGCAUGACUCUGCAGAGAUGACUUAGCACUGCCCCUCAGCAGGGAUGGCUCAGCAGGGAUGACUCAGCACUGCCCCUCAGCAAGGAUGACGGAGCACUGCCGCUCAACAGGGAUGACUCAGCAGGGAUGACUCAGUACUGCCCCUCAGCAGGGAUGACUCAGCACUGCCCCUCAGCAGGGAUGACUCAGCACAGCCCCUCAACAGGGAUGACUCAGCAGGGAUGACUCAGUACUGCCCCUCAGCAGGGAUGACUCCGCACUGCCCCUCAACAGGGAUGACUCAGCAGGGAUGACUCAGCACCACCCCUCAACAGGCAUGACUCUUCAGAGAUGACUUAGCACUGCCCCUCAGCAAGGAUGACUCAGCAGGGAUGACUCAGCACUGCCCCUCAACAGGGAUGACUCAGCAGACUCAGCGGGGAUGACGCAGCACUGUCCCUCAGCAGGCAUGACUCAGCAGGGAUGACUCAGCACUGCCCCUCAGCAAGGAUGACUCAGCAGGGAUGAUUCAGCAGAGAUAACUCGGGGAUGACUCUGACUGCCCCUCAGCAGGGAUGAGUCUGUUUUGCUCUGAUGGAAGCAUCUGUAGUGUCCAUCAGCAGGUGAACAGCCAAAGUGGUAUAUACUGUAGUCAAAUUCAGCUAUAAAAAGGAAUAAAGUAUCGAUGCAUGCCACAACAUGGGUGAACCUAGAAAAUACUGUUCUAAAUGCAAGAAGCCAGGCACAAAAGGCCACAUAGUAUAUGUUCCCAUUUAUGUGAAAUGUGCAGAAUAAUAAUAAAAAUGUAUAGAACAGCAAAUCUGUAGGGACAGACAUGAGGUGAGUGGUUGCCAGAAGUGGAAAUGGGAGUUAACUAUAAAUAGCACAGGGUACCUUACAGAGAUGAUGGAAAUGUCCUAAAGCUAGAUUAUGGCAUCAGUUGCACUACGUGAUCAGUUUAUUAAAAAUCGUUGAUGUGUGUGUGUAGAAUGGGUGGAUUUUAUGGUUUAUAAAUUAUACCUUAAUAAAGGUUAAC
rnacentral:sRNA from 1 species